UCAGUGGGAGGUAGUAGCAUGCUGGUUAUUCUUGGAUAUUCUGUCCACUGGUGAGUUAAGCUCCUGCUUACUUACAAAUUAAUUUCCUUUGCAAAUGUUCUGAAUGAUGAUGCAGAUGCUGAAACAGUAAUUCCUCUUUUGAUGGGCUAGGAAGGGAGUGUGGAGUCUGUACAGCUUUGAGCCUCCCUGCUGAAGAAAAGGACUAAAUGGCGAGCAAAUGGACUGUUUGAAGCAGUGGGUUUGAUCACCCAAGAGGAGGGACUCUGAGGAUACCCCACAGGGAAUCUGUUGGGUAUUUCUGUCAUCUCAGACUCUUCCCUGAUAUGGAACAAAGUGAAGGUGAACAGGAAUCCCAGCCAGAGAGUCACGUGGAAAGCAAGAGCAGUGUGAAAUCCUUGCCUGGGGGAGCGGCCCAUGUCAAACUGGAGAUAAAAAAACAUGCAGUUACCGAUGACUACAAACUCUCCAAACGGGUGCUAGGGUUAGGAAUCAAUGGCAAAGUACUGGAGUGUUUCAACAAGGAGACAGGCCAAAAAUGUGCUUUGAAGCUCCUGUAUGACAACCCAAAAGCCCGUCAGGAAGUAGAGUAUCAUUGGCGAGCAUCAGGGUGUCCCCACAUUGUCCAUGUCCUGGAUGUUUAUGAGAAUAUACACCAUGGAAAGAGAUGCCUCCUCAUUGUCAUGGAAUGCAUGGAGGGAGGAGAGCUGUUUAGCAGGAUCCAGGAGAGAGGAGAUCAAGCUUUCACUGAAAGAGAGGCCUCUGAAAUAAUGAGAGACAUCGGAACAGCCAUCCAGUAUCUGCAUUCAAUGAACAUUGCCCAUAGAGAUGUCAAGCCUGAAAACUUGCUUUACACAUCUAAAGAGAAGGAUACUGUACUCAAACUCACAGACUUCGGCUUUGCCAAAGAAACCAGUGUACAAAAUGCGCUGCAGACCCCCUGUUACACUCCUUAUUAUGUGGCCCCAGAAGUCCUUGGCCCUGAGAAGUAUGACAAAUCAUGUGACAUGUGGUCGUUGGGUGUCAUCACAUAUAUUCUCCUGUGUGGGUUCCCUCCAUUCUACUCAAACACUGGUCAAGCCAUUUCUCCAGGGAUGAAGAGAAGAAUUCGGAUGGGGCAAUACGGGUUUCCCAAUCCAGAGUGGGCUGAAGUAUCAGAGGAAGCCAAACAACUGAUUCGCCAUUUACUGAAGACUGACCCAACAGAGAGGAUGACAGUUUCUCAAUUUAUGAAUCACCCUUGGAUUAAUAGAUCAAUGGCAGUGCCACCAACUCCUCUUCAUACUGCACGGGUCCUGCAAGAGGAUAAAGACCACUGGGAUGAAGUUAAAGAGGAGAUGACCAGUGCUUUGGCAACCAUGAGGGUGGACUAUGAUCAGGUGAAAAUCAAAGACUUGAAAACAUCCAACAACCGCCUCCUGAAUAAACGCCGUAAGAAGCAGAAGCAGGCAGCCACCUCUUCUGCAGCCCCAGGGUGCAAUAACCAAUGAGAAGAGAAGCCAAGGACCUGUGGGUGGAGGGUAAAAGUUAAAAGGAACAAUUUAAAAUCAGUAUGAAUAACUCGGUCCAUACCACAAAGGCAAUGAGACUGUGAAGAAGCUAUCCUGCAAAGAGGGAGCAGUGUGAAAGAUUAUUACAUUUUUAUAACUUGAAUCAGGGCUUUGCUUUUAAAGACUAAUGUAUAUGAUAUGAUUCUGUUACAUAUUGCUAGGGAAGGUACAGUAAUACUAGAAAUGUUACGGGUUUUUGUUUUGGCUUUAACUGUAGCAGACAAGAGGAGAGAACAGGAGGCAGUCUCAGCAUACUAAUGCACUGAGGCUUUAACAGCCAUCUACAAGAGUGACUUCUGCUACGGUUUUAAACUUGGGAAUAGAAAAAAAUGCCAAGUGUUCUGCUAGGAGUGUUUUAGUAGUUCAAACAUGAGUACUGAGAAAGGAGAAAAAUGUCACUGUUCUUUAUAUGAGUAGCACAGGUGCAGUUCUAUUAUGGAUGCAUCUGGACGGCAUUUCAUGUUAGAAUUGGUAAUAGUCAAUAUUUCCAAACUUACCUCCUAUAGUUACAGAAUAUCACCUAAAUAGUAGAGUUAUUCCUGUUACAGGAAAAAGCAUCCACACAUUUCCAUUUUCAUAGUCUUCAUGUAGUAUUCUGUGAAGAUUUGAGUUUGUCAUGGAUUCUCAUUUGGUAACAUGUAAGUUUUCUAAACUGUAACCAUUAUGUCGUGUCUUGCCACUGUCAGAUCCCUCUCUUGUAAUGUUUUUAAUUGAAACAGUACUUUAUGUGAAGGAUUUUAAUAAGGAUUUAAUUAGUUGAAAGUAUCCUGCAGAGAAUAUUGCUGUUCCUCUUGGAUCCACAGCCUCUAGGGCGUGCAACUGGACAUGCAAUUGUUUACAAGAGACUGCUCUAGAAGAGAGACUUCUGAAAUUCAGGACGAAGUGGCAAAUGCAUGUUCUCUGAAUGGACCCUGGUGCCUGCCGGCAUCCCUUCUGCGACAACAUCCCGGAAUACCGUAAAGCCCAGUGGGAACCUGAGGAGGGCCUCAAAAUGGCAGACAUGGAAGUGUAUGCAAAGAGCCUAAACAGAAUGAACACAAGGAAGCAAACUUCGAAGACAGAGAACAC